GUGUAGGGAUCGAUUAGUCUGAUUAGUUCCGGAAAGUCCAGGAACCACUGGAGAGGGAAAGAAAUGUGUGUAUGCAAUUAGUAUAGCUACAGAAGCAGAUGGUCAAGGGAGUAAAACUUCAGAGAGCUCCUAACCUUGAAGGAAAGGAACAGGCUGAGCCAGAAGGUGAUAAACAGUGUGAGAAGUUUAUGGGGGUUGCAGGUCACCAACGGAUUGUGUGUAAAUGCAUGUGCGUAAGUUAGCAAGAACUAUAUAAUGACUGUUUUGUUAUCCUGACGGUAGAACGUUCUCUGAAUAAAGCUACAGAAACCUUUUGCAGAAAGCUGACUCCUUGCCUAAUUAUUUUAACCCAUUGUCUUACAAACCUUGGGCAUUAGUCAAGGCGAAUUGAUUAUUGAUUAUUAUCAUCAAGAUAUAAAAUUCCUUUAACAAUUGGUCCUUCGAGCCGGAUCUCAAACUGCCGCUGUCGUUCCAAGGAGACACGGAAACCGUGCACGGGCGGAUGAAAUAUCCGUAAAUCAAAGACCUGGCCCUUUUCUGUGGGUUCUUUACAGGCCGGUGGCAAACUGGUACGCGACAGAGGUGGUGACGAGAUUCAACGAACAUUGAAAACCUCAGCUGCAAAUUAUAAGGUUAGUAGACUUUAUUCAUACUUUUGGGGAAUAGCACCUGUAUGAUUACAUUAAAUAAGGGGUGAGUGAUAUACCUAUAGGUCUGCAUUGCAUAGUGAAAUGAGUGAUACACCUGUGUGUCUGCAUUGUAUAAAAUACACCUGUAUGUCGGCAUUGUAUGAUGAAAUGGGAAAUACACCUGUAUGUCUGCAUUGCAUGAUGGAAUAAGGGACACAAUUGGGUGUUGGCAUUUGAUGAGAAAGCGAUUGUUGUGAGUGAAAGACAAAAGCGAUUGUUGUGAGUGAAAGACAAAAGCGAUUGUUGUGAAUGAAAAGCAAAAGCGAUUGUUGUGAAUGAAAGGCAAAAGCGAUUGUUGUGAAUGAAAGGCAAAAGCGAUUGAUAAGAGUGAAAGUAGAGGAUUUUAAUGUACUCUGGGUGUUAGACGCUGAAAGGCGGGAAUAUUAUAGCUGGUGACCUGGCUUCAGAAGUUCGUGUGGAGAAAAAUCGGUUUUAAAGGGAAUCAAGUAUUCUGCGCGGAUGGAAGUUAGGAAUUAGUUGUAAAUUCAAAACGACGAAUUCGAAAACGACGCAGGGUCCGAAAUCGACCCUGGGCAACUGUGGCCACUGCAUAAAACUAAACUAGGGCUUGUGGUGAGACCUGAUAACGUAGCACAAGGGUCAAAAAACCAUAAGGGGAUAGUCGGUACCUAAAUACGGCUUUAGGUCUGAUAUCUAUGGGUGAAGUGAGACCUAAUAUGGCGGAGUGAGAAACAGAUAUUGGUGUCAACAGUUACAUGAAGCAACAGAUAAAUAGGCUGUUAACUAGGGCUUUACGACCCCUGGAAAGUAGUUUAUAGUUGCAUAUGUAUGCGACCUAAUGUCUGAUCGACAGUCCCCGCUGUAGAUAAAGUUUCGAGAGAGAUAGAGUAACUAUGCUGGGAUGAGGGAUUGUGUGUGAGGCGAAUUCUGUCAAUAAAUCGCGAAAAAAAGACAGACAGUACAAACCUAAAAAUAAAACGGGUUGCAGUGUUUGUCUAUGAGCGAGAUAAAGACCGGGUUAGGAUAGAUACGUAUAAUCAUUCUAGCAGAACAACUCUAUAUUGAAUAGAAGGUUAAUAACGAAAACAUAUUGCUAGAAUCAACAGGCGCAAGAUAAAAGCUGUUUGUCCUUUUUGAGCGAUGAGAUACAAGCAAUUUGUAAUAUAGCAUGCGAAUAAUUAUUCCCUAAAUUCUAGACGAAAACAUAUUGCUAGAAUCAACAGGCGCAAGAUAAAAGCCGUUUGUCCUUUUUGAGCGAUGAGAUAGAAGCAAUUUGAAAUAUAGCGUGCAAAUAAUUAUUCCCCAAAUUAUAGGUUUAAUAACGAAAACACAUUGUUAAAAUCACGUAUAAUCAUUCUAGCAGAACAACUCUAUAUUGCGAAUAGAAGGUUAAUAACGAAAACAUAUUGCUAGAAUCAACAGGCGCAAGAUAAAAGCCGUUUGUCCUUUUUGAGCGAUGAGAUAGAAGCAAUUUGUAAUAUAGCAUGCGAAUAAUUAUUCCCCAAAUUCUAGGUUAAUAACGGUAAAAUAGCAUACACAUAAAGAUUAACAACGAGUAGACACUAAUUGUAUUUGGUUUGAAGUUGUAUAAAUUAAAGCACAUAUGAAUAAAAGAUAGUUUAUGGUUCUUACGAAUAAUAUUUCUAAAACUCUAGAUUGGGAGAAGAAGCAGAAUAAAUACGAGUGUACUUUAACAACAUGGGUAGUAAAUCCUCUAAGGAGAUCCCGGUAUUGACGGGAGAUGAACGGUUUAUGCUGGGAAAAGAUAAGAGGAACAUUUUAUUUUGGCCCGAAAUGGAGGAUGGAUGUUUAAAUGUUGAAAGAUUGGAAUUAAAGAUACAACAAAUACAUAGGCUCUGUGGGGAUAAGACAGAGAAGCAGCGCACAGAGGGCCUUGACACCGCUCGUGUUUGGCUGGCAGAAGCUAGGAAGAGAGCGGAGGGGGCCAGGGAUAAGGGCGUUGCUAACAAUGAUUUGGGUAACAAGGGAGGUAGAGAGGAAGAGACACAGAAAAGAGAACAGGAUUUAGCAAACUUAUUGAGAAAAGUGGAUAGAGACACUGUAGACAGAAGGGGAAAAACGGGGAGACGCGCUGACAAAGACGGAGAGAAGAUGUGUUUUAGUUGCGAUAGAACAGGACAUUACGCCAGAGACUGUAAAACACCCUGUAAACAUGAACAAUAGUUGUUCAGUGGUAGAAUUCUUGCCUACCAUGCGGGGGGCCCGGGUUCAGUUCCCAGCCCAUGCACCAUGGGACAAAAAUGUAAUUUAAUUAUUGUUAUGUUAUGACUGGAACCAUACGGUUGUUAGUGUUUGUUUAAGAUAGAAACCGAACGUUUUGAUAGCUUGUUUAGUUUAAAUAGAAAGAAAGAGUCGAUAAAGUACAUUGUUUGUGGUCUAAAUGGCCUGUUUUAAGGAUUUAUAGAGAAUAGGAGUUGUAUUUGAAUGACGGAAUCAAGGAAAAGGCAGUUACCUAAAUCUAAUGAAUUAUAAGGAGCGGAAAUUAAUAAUUGCGACAGAAUUGUGGUGAUAUACAUGAUUUUUUUUUUUUAAACCCUUGGACAUUUCAUAAGACUAUAAACCAAUACCUAGAGAGAUUAAAGGACGUGUCCAACGCUAAUAGUGGGUUAAUAGAACCCCCGGUAGUGGAUGGAUUUGAUGCCCCGUAUUAUCAGGAAUUAAAAAUUGCUUUCCUCAGUGGAAUGCGUCCCGAGAUAAAUCGUGCCACCAAACAGAACCUCGUAGGGUGGGAGCUAGCAGAUCUGAGGGAAGUAAGCAAGGCCAGAGAGGGAGUAGAGACAGAUACAAAGAGAAGGUCAGGCGCCCCCAGCCAGACUCAGAGGAGGAGGCAUGACUAACUAUGGAGAGCGGGGGAACAGACACUAGUGAGGGGAAGGACGAUUUUCAGAAUUUAGUUAUAAACAGCGAUUGUGAAGUUUUUGAAUUGGCUACAAUUGAUUUGUCAGUACAACAAGAACAGAAGCCCUAUUUGACACUAACAGUAAUGGGAGAGAGAAUCAAAUUUCUGUGUGAUACUGGGGCGUGUCUUGUUUUCAGAGUUUUAAUAAACACAUUAAAUUCUUUUGAUAGGGAAUGUUCUGGGAAACCUGGGAUACAAAAUGUAGAUAAAGUUCUUAGCCUUAAUUUGUUUAAUGUAGUAAGAAACACGGUUCUGAAAGGGUGGUAUGACUUUUGACAUCUGGUGACUUUUCCUGUGUGGUCUGAUCAGCCACAUUGAAAAGCCAUUUGGAUGGUGAAUUUAAGGUCAUUGGUGAUAUUGAUUUUAAGGGAAUUUGUAGAACUGAUAAUUAUGAUGGAGUUAAAGUUCUUAGACACAAUUGAUAAUUUGAACCAAUGAUAGGACUAAAAGGGCAAAGCCUUAGACUAAGGGUAGGCUUCCUUAAGUCUAUUUUCCUAGAACAAUAAGGGUAAAAUAAUUUUUCUUGGUGGAGUAAAUCAGAUUAAUCAUUUUGAUCUGAUUAUAGGAUUUGAAAAAAUGUUGACCAGUAGCAGGGGUAUUUUUUACAUUAUCUAGAUAAGUUUAUUUUUCCUUAGGAAGUCAGCUGUUGUUGAAUUCAGUGUAAGAGAUUUAACACAACAAGGCUGUGGAAUUGAUAUACUAGUAUUACUAUAUUUUGUUGUGAAUAAGUUUAAUAAUGGUAGACUUAUGUCAACAGGACAGGGAUAUAUGACAUCUGUAGGUGAUCCAGGAUUAUUGAGGGUAUCGAGAUAAAUUUAAGUAGAUAUGCAAUAUCUAGACAGGUUGAUUUUUCUAAAAGUUCAGGAGUACAACCAAGGAGACAAUGAGACAUUUAGUCAAUAUUUGGAAAUAACCAUAUUAUGAGAAAAAGCUGGAGACAGAUAGAAGGGCAGACAGAGAGAUCCUCCCCUGCACUGCUGAAACCUUGAGGGUUGGGGAGUAGCAGGAAGAAAGAAGGGGGGCCAGCAGGAGUAGAUAGGAAGAGAAUUUGGUUCACUUAGCUUUAGGAUAUUAAUUCAUGGAGAGACUAUCGGCUCCAUUGGCAGGCAUGUAUUUUAGUUUUGAUUUUAAGUUUAUGUUUGGUAAAUUCGCUAGGAGGAGAUAUGAUCAUUUUGUUCAAAGUAAUUGUUAGCCUAACUAAAAGGGCAAUGAAAGCUUAGUUGGUUUCAGGUGUUAGACACUGAACCAUUGCCCAGACACUAUUCUGCACAGUAGGCCGAAAUAGUAGCAUUGACUAGAACCGGUGAAAAUAAGAAAGGAGAGAAAAGUUACUAUUUACACAGACAAGCACAUAGACAUUUAAAACCAUACAAAGCAGCAUAGAUACAUCUUAAAGAAGAUAAAACACUUGACAGAGAAUUGUUACAGAAUAGCCGAGGAUGAAGGCCCCAGGAAGAAUUGGACAUGUGGAAAAUGAAAUGGGGCAUCCUACAAGAGAAGGUCUGACAGUAGGAUAAUUUACUUAUCCUACCAAAGACAUUGUAUGGAUACGCAGCAAUAUUGAUACAUAGGCUAAGCAAUGUAUCAAGGGGAGGGAAGUAUAGUAGAGUAGUUAGGAAAGAGUGAUGGCCUAGAGGAUAAUUACUUAAUUAAAUUAAAAAUUAAAAAUGUUGUAAGAAGAUCCAUUCCAACAUUUGGAAUUGGACUUAUUGAACUAUUCCGAAUUGAGGGGAAGAAGGGGAGUUUAACAAGAAUAGAUAAGUAUAGCAAAUGGGUAGAAGCAUUCCCAACUUACUUGGUGGACAUGAUUAUGGUAGCUAAAAUAUUAAGUCAAGAUAUUAUCCCAAGAGUUGGUUUACUAGGAGCCAUCUCUUUAAAUGAUGGAUGACAGUUUAGCUAAUCAGGUAGAGCCUAUAGAAUGCCAGAGUUAAAAAUACCAGAACAGGUAGACAUAGAAGUUGAAGAAAUACUAGCAGAGCACAUGAGAAGACUGUUUGUUAACCAAACCCGUAUGUCCAAGAUUUUGUGUCCAACAGGUGAAUUACAGGAGAAGGUGAUUCACUCAGUACAACCAGGAGACUGGGUGUGGAUCCAGUCCCUGAGGAGAAAAGACAGGAAGCAACACCGUUGGGAAGGCCCAUACCAGGUUCUGUUAAACCACUGCCUUUGCCAUUAGAAAAGCUGAAAGAGUCACUUGGGUCCACGUUACCCACUGCAAGGAGGUAUGUACACAUAUGAACCCUGCUGAUCACACACAGAGUUAGGAGAAGAACCGAUACCAACAGGGUCCGGGGGUUACCUCCUUAACGAAGAUUUCCUAUCCCGACCGUUCAUCACUGUGUGUGCUCCUAGAGGUGUGAGUAUGGGGUGGUACCUAGCAGAGAGACUAAGGGCAGGAGAGGGUUGGCGGUUUUUGGGAAGAGUAGGGACUCUGAGCUGCAUCAUAGCUUUGGUAACCUUUCUGAUACAUUCAGAUCCACCACCUUCCGGUACUAAUCAUAGGAUACCGUUGUCAUUGAGAAGAAGUAGAAGAUAAACUAUACAAUACACUGAUGAGUGACAUACAGAAUAAGGAAUCAAAGAAGAUCAAGAUGUAGAAUUUAAGGUAAACAUUAAACAAUUUCCUGGGGAAGCAGACUUUACAGGAAUUGGGGUUGGCCAGAUUGAAGUACUCAGCCAACCCACCUCGGUUCACCUAAAUUCCGGAUGAAUACCAGUGUUAUAGAUACAAGAAUGGCACCGAGAACUAAGAUGAUUUUAAUGGCUGAAAGUAAUCGUUAAUGUGACUAACUUAGGUUUGAGAGAUGAAUAGAACAUUCUUAACCUCACAGCACCUAUAACUGAUGUAGGGUGGGCCAGUACCAGUAAAGGACGCAUGCGACAGAAAUUACCACAAAGGGUGGUUAGGAACUUGCGCCCUGGGGUUAUUGGUCCAACCAGUUCGAGUUAGUCAUCAGAGGCUAGUUAUAGGAGGCUAAAGUAGGGACAGGAGGAGUUUUGACCAGGAUGGGAGUAGCUUUGUCUAGAGGGAUGCUAUUGGCAUCCUCAGGGAAGUUCCAGAUGAAUACAAAGCUAUGAAUCAAAUAUGUGAAGGCUUUAACACUACAUUGUUUUGGUGGUUGACAAUAAAUCGAAAUGUGGAUUGGAUUAAUGACAUUUUUUUUAUAAUCAACAGAGAGUCAUGAAUGAAAACGGGGAUGCAGUAAAGAGGUUCUCUGACCAAUUAUCCGCCACCUCCCUCAUGACCUGGUAAAAUAGACUGACUCUCGAUAUGUUACUGGCAGAAGAGGGCAGUGUAGGUAGAAUGAUUAGGUUCAUUGCUGCACGUACAUUCCUGAUAACACAUCCCAUGUUUGGGAAAUGGAAAAGUGUUGUAAGAACUGUAUUAUGGGCUGCUUUCACCUGUAUGAGUGUGUUUGUGUUGUGUGGAUGUUGUCUCGUCCCAUGUGUGAGAGGUUUAAUCACCAGGACUCUAGAGAGAUCGAUGACGCUGCAGAUGGUGAGAUAUGGACCAAUUCCGAGCUCCGAUCAGUGGGAUGGCGAAUGCGGGCCUCCAGGCCAGGAAGAUGGCUCUGUCUCUUUCAAUAACGAGGAGCCAAUGUUUGAUUAAACAAUUUUCAACGUUUUGAUUGAAUUUUCAACGUUUUGAUAGACUGUUCCUUCAAUGAAAAUUAUGAUGAAAAUCCUGAAUUGAAGUGUCAUAAUUGGAAAGAGGCCUAGGACUGUCAUUGAUGGGUAUAGGAGGAAUAAUUAUGUAUUAGUCUUGUUUAAUCCUUGUAUCACAAUUAAAUUCCAUAUAGCGUGUGAUUUCACAAUUAUGUAUUUCCAUAUAGCAUAUGAUUAUUGUAUUUCCAUAAAGCGUGUGAUUAUUAGUGAUUACUUAUAGCAUGUGAUCAUCAUGGUGAAUUAUUGAAUCAUUUAAGGGUGGAAUUGAUAAGAGAAUUAUCUAAUAAAUGUAAAUGAAUCAAUAAACCAUGAUGAAUUAUUAGUCAUACAGCAGGUUUAAUGAAUAAUCAAUGUAAUGUGUGUAGGGAUCGAUUAGUCUGAUCAGUUCCGGAAAGUCCAGGAACCACUGGAGAGGGAAAGAAAUGUGUGUAUGCAAUUAGUAUAGCUACAGAAGCAGAUGGUCAAGGGAGUAAAACUUCAGAGAGCUCCUAACCUUGAAGGAAAGGAACAGGCUGAGCCAGAAGGUGAUAAACAGUGUGAGAAGUUUAUGGGGGUUGCAGGUCACCAACGGAUUGUGUGUAAAUGCAUGUGCGUAAGUUAGCAAGAACUAUAUAAUGACUGUUUUGUUAUCCUGACGGUAGAACGUUCUCUGAAUAAAGCUACAGAAACCUUUUGCAGAAAGCUGAGUCCUUGCCUAAUUAUUUUAACCCAUUGUCUUACAAACCUUGGGCAUUAGUCAAGGCGAAUUUAUUAUUGAUUAUUAUCAUCAAGAUAUAAAAUUCCUUUAACACCUACCUUAAUAGAAAAUGACUCAAGUAAAAGUUAGUCACCCUGUAAAAUACUACCGUAAUUUCCGGACUAUUAAGCGCACCUGAAUAUAAGCCGCAC
rnacentral:lncRNA from 1 species